rnacentral:rRNA from 1 species
UUCAACCUACGGGGGGCAGCAGUGGGGAAUAUUGCACAAUGGGCGAAAGCCUGAUGCAGCAACGCCGCGUGAAGGAAGACGGUUUUCGGAUUGUAAACUUCUGUUCUUAGAGAAGAAUAAUGACGGUAACUAAGGAGCAAGCCACGGCUAACUACGUGCCAGCAGCGGCGGUAAUACGUAGGUGGCAAGCGUUGUCCGGAAUUACUGGGUGUAAAGGGAGCGUAGGCGGGAAGCCAGGUCAGCUG